CACUAAGAGUGGCAGGGAUCCAGCAAAACCACUACCAGUGCACUGGAGAGUCACUGAAUACACGCGGCUCAGGGCUGCAGACGUGAUUGAGUGCAAUCAGUGGCAUGAGACACAGCUGGGCCACGCACAACGGCCACAGAGAACAUUUCCACUCAUCCUCUCACUACACAACAAAGUCUACAGAUUUCUACUGUCUUUAUUUUAAUUUCCUGGCAUGUGUCCCUCUUCUUGUGCAGC